UGGGGAAUAUUGCGCAAUGGGGGGAACCCUGACGCAGCCAUGCCGCGUGAAUGAAGAAGGCCUUCGGGUUGUAAAGUUCUUUCGGUAUUGAGGAAGGUUGAUGUGUUAAUAGCACAUCAAAUUGACGUUAAAUACAGAAGAAGCACCGGCUAACUCCGUGCCAGCAGCCGCGGUAAUACGGAGGGUGCGAGCGUUAAUCGGAAUAACUGGGCGUAAAGGGCACGCAGGCGGUUAUUUAAGUGAGGUGUGAAAGCCCUGGGCUUAACCUAGGAAUUGCAUUUCAGACUGGGUAACUAGAGUACUUUAGGGAGGGGUAGAAUUCCACGUGUAGCGGUGAAAUGCGUAGAGAUGUGGAGGAAUACCGAAGGCGAAGGCAGCCCCUUGGGAAUGUACUGACGCUCAUGUGCGAAAGCGUGGGGAGCAAACAGGAUUAGCUACCCUGGUAGUCCACGCUGUAAACGCUGUCGAUUUGGGGGUUGGGGUUUAACUCUGGCGCCCGUAGCUAACGUGAUAAAUCGACCGCCUGGGGAGUACGGCCGCAAGGUUA
rnacentral:rRNA from 1 species